rnacentral:rRNA from 1 species
CCCCUAGACGUUCUGGGCUGCACGCGCGCUACAAUAAUACGCACAGCGAGUAUCACCGAGCUCGAAAGGGCAAGGUAAACAAUAGAAAAGGUACUGUAAUGGUUAUAGAGCCUUGUAAUUAUUGAUCUUCAACGAGGAAUUCCUAGUAAGUAUGUGUCAUCAUCACGCACUGAUUACGUCCCUGCCCUUUGUACACACCGCCCGUCGCUCCUACCGAUUGGGUGAGCCGAUGAAACUCUCGGAUGUAGGCUAUUCAUAGCCCGCAGAAGAGAUUUGAAUCGUAGCGCUUAGAGGAAGGAGAAGUCGUAACA